GGGGCCGUAGCUCAGCUGGGAGAGCGUCCGGAUGGCAUCCGGAAGGUCAGGGGUUCGAGCCCCCUCGGCUCCA
rnacentral:tRNA from 1 species